GAGGUAUCAGAAGUGCGAAUGCUGACAUAAGUAACGAUAAAGCGGGUGAAAAGCCCGCUCGCCGGAAGACCAAGGGUUCCUGUCCAACGUUAAUCGGGGCAGGGUGAGUCGACCCCUAAGGCGAGGCCGAAAGGCGUAGUCGAUGGGAAACAGGUUAAUAUUCCUGUACUUGGUGUUACUGCGAAGGGGGGACGGAGAAGGCUAUGUUGGCCGGGCGACGGUUGUCCCGGUUUAAGCGUGUAGGCUGGUUUUCCAGGCAAAUCCGGAAAACUAAGGCUGAGGCGUGAUGACGAGGCACUACGGUGCUGAAGCAACAAAUGCCCUGCUUCCAGGAAAAGCCUCUAAGCAUCAGGUAACAUCAAAUCGUACCCCAAACCGACACAGGUGGUCAGGUAGAGAAUACCAAGGCGCUUGAGAGAACUCGGGUGAAGGAACUAGGCAAAAUGGUGCCGUAACUUCGGGAGAAGGCACGCUGAUAUGUAGGUGAAGUCCCUCGCGGAUGGAGCUGAAAUCAGUCGAAGAUACCAGCUGGCUGCAACUGUUUAUUAAAAACACAGCACUGUGCAAACACGAAAGUGGACGUAUACGGUGUGACGCCUGCCCGGUGCCGGAAGGUUAAUUGAUGGGGUCAGCGCAAGCGAAGCUCUUGAUCGAAGCCCCGGUAAACGGCGGCCGUAACUAUAACGGUCCUAAGGUAGCGAAAUUCCUUGUCGGGUAAGUUCCGACCUGCACGAAUGGCGUAAUGAUGGCCAGGCUGUCUCCACCCGAGACUCAGUGAAAUUGAACUCGCUGUGAAGAUGCAGUGUACCCGCGGCAAGACGGAAAGACCCCGUGAACCUUUACUAUAGCUUGACACUGAACAUUGAGCCUUGAUGUGUAGGAUAGGUGGGAGGCUUUGAAGUGUGGACGCCAGUCUGCAUGGAGCCGACCUUGAAAUACCACCCUUUAAUGUUUGAUGUUCUAACGUUGACCCGUAAUCCGGGUUGCGGACAGUGUCUGGUGGGUAGUUUGACUGGGGCGGUCUCCUCCUAAAGAGUAACGGAGGAGCACGAAGGUUGGCUAAUCCUGGUCGGACAUCAGGAGGUUAGUGCAAUGGCAUAAGCCAGCUUGACUGCGAGCGUGACGGCGCGAGCAGGUGCGAAAGCAGGUCAUAGUGAUCCGGUGGUUCUGAAUGGAAGGGCCAUCGCUCAACGGAUAAAAGGUACUCCGGGGAUAACAGGCUGAUACCGCCCAAGAGUUCAUAUCGACGGCGGUGUUUGGCACCUCGAUGUCGGCUCAUCACAUCCUGGGGCUGAAGUAGGUCCCAAGGGUAUGGCUGUUCGCCAUUUAAAGUGGUACGCGAGCUGGGUUUAGAACGUCGUGAGACAGUUCGGUCCCUAUCUGCCGUGGGCGCUGGAGAACUGAGGGGGGCUGCUCCUAGUACGAGAGGACCGGAGUGGACGCAUCACUGGUGUUCGGGUUGUCAUGCCAAUGGCACUGCCCGGUAGCUAAAUGCGGAAGAGAUAAGUGCUGAAAGCAUCUAAGCACGAAACUUGCCCCGAGAUGAGUUCUCCCUGACUCCUUGAGAGUCCUGAAGGAACGUUGAAG
rnacentral:rRNA from 1 species